GGGCGCCCCGAUCGGCCCACCGGCCGUCAGGCUCAACGCUGGCGAUCCUGUGCGCAUCUGGUUCAGAGUCUGCCUGCUUUGCUCGCCCCCGCCGAACGGGUUGGUGGGGGAUGGAGUGCUGAGACCUGCGGAACGAGGGCUCUCUGUCCCAACGACGAUGGGCUCCAGCUCCAGCACCAUUGGCCACAGAGAUGCAAUAGCUCCGAGGGGUACCUGGCCAAGGUCCUGCAGCAAGUUGAACCCAGGUCCCCUGAUUCAAGUUCCUGGACUCUUCCAGCUGUGCCCCAUCCAGCUCAGGGUCAAGUGUGGUGGGAGGGCAAGAGGUUGCACUCAGUCAAGGUCACAGCUCUCCAAGCCCUCAGCACAUUGUUAAGGAAGGCCAUUCUGAGUGCCCUCAGAUCAGGGAAGUGCCCCUCUUCUCGGGGAGGAGAGUGGCGUAUGCAGUUGCCCCAAUUUUCAAGAGCAGUGCCCUUGAGCUGGGGGUUCAAGAGGAAUGCUGCUCUGCAGCACCAUGUGCUGCCUAUCUGAGCACAGGGUCGAGGGCAGUCCUGGGCUUGGUUUCAUUUAAUCCUCAAAUUGGACAAUGGAGACAGAUUAGUUUAUCCCUACUUUAAGGAUGAGGAAACUGAGGUUCAGAGAGCUGGUUGGCAGAGAUCUCAUGGCUUGGAAGGGGCAGAAUAAGGACUGAGCCUGUGCUUCUGCCUCCACCGCCCUACCAGGCAGGAGUUAACAAUAACAAACCUAUAAUAAAUAACAUCAUUGUUCACAUUGACUUGUUGGGCACCUACUGUGUGGGGGCGUGUUACCCUCUUUAUCUCAGGGAAUCUUCAGACAUACCUCUAAGUGGGGGAUUCUUAUCUA